UUAAAAGCUUUGAAUAGAAGUAGUAAUAUUGACUGUAUUUUUAGAGAGCUAUGGGUUGCUGUAACAUAGUAAUACUUAAAUGUGAACUUGUCUAGGAGCUUAUCUAUUAGAAGUAGAUACGGUGUGAAUCGUUAAAUUGUAAAGUGAGAAUUUCUUUAAACUUAUAGAAAUUCUAAUUAGAGUGGUACCGCGGAAAUAUAGCUUUCGUCUCUUUU
rnacentral:ncRNA from 1 species